AUGUCCUGCUGCUGCGGCAGCCUCAAGUACUGCUGCAAGUUCUUCGGCGGCUUGCUCGGCGCCCUCUUCCCGAUCGGCGUCAUCAUCCUCAUCUACUGGGCCAUCUUUCAGCCCCACCAAAUCCGCGCCACCGUCGGCUCCGCCACGCUCACCGGCCUCACCGUCACCAAUGCCUCCGUCGUAUCCUACCGCCUCGCCGUCACCCUCGACAUAUACAACCCCAGCCUCCGCGUCGGCAUCUACUACGACACGCUGGACGCCGAGCUCAGCUACCGCGGCGCAUCGCUCGGCGGCCCCGCCGUUGGCGCUUCCACGGCGUCCCCGGCCGAGUUCUACCAGCGGAGGAAGAGCUGGGAGACGGUGAAGGUGGAGUUCGACGGGAGCAGUGGCGGCAUCCUCCCCGGCGACGUUGCUGCGGAGCUGGAGAAGGAGAUGGGUCGGGGGACGGUGAGCUUGGAGGUCGCCGUGGACGCGCGGGUGAGGUACAGGUUCAACACCAUCAAGAUUCGCCAGAAGCCCAAUUUGUGGUGCUCGCUCACCAUCCCGGUUAAGCCGGAUCAGGGCCGCGGCGUCGGCGGCGCUCUUACCUCCGGCGACCGCUGUAGCGUCAAGUAUUGA
rnacentral:rRNA from 1 species